rnacentral:lncRNA from 1 species
AUGGUGGGAGAUUAUCAGGGCUUCUGGCUAAUUCUAUCCCUCUCCAGGACAAACACCAGCAAAUCAUCUGCAUCCACCUGGACAGUGUAUUUAUCCUCUGGCACAGGAAUCUUCAGGGCGUUAAACUUCUUCUCAGAGUCAUCUACCAAGCCAGCCUUUGCCACAUUGGCCUUGUAGUAAGCCCAGUCGAUAACAGGUGGUUUCUCAGUAAGAGUAGCCAACCUGGAGAUGAUAUUGCCUAAAAGGACUGAGAGAAAUAAUUUACAGGUAUAAACCUUUCUGCUGAGAUUAUUAACAUAACUUUAACCACACCACAGUUAAUGUGAUUCCAAAUAUCUUAACUAUUCUAUAUUACCUUCUUUUUUAUAUUUUGAAAAAAAUGUUUAAAAUUCUCAAUUAAACAUCCAAUUACUCUUGAUUAAUACAGUAGCAGGAAUCAUUGCAUUAAAUUCAAUUUGUUUAUUUACUUUUGAUAAAUUAAAUCUUUCAAUAUUGGAUGAGUUUUUCUAGAGUCCUUGGGACACAUUCAGCCAAAGGCAUGAAUAUAUCGUGUACUCUUUUUCAUAUUUAGGAAAAUGAAGAUUUCAAAGGUACCCUGCAAGUUUCUUUUGUCCAAUAGACUGUCAUUGAAAGAUAACACUUUAAAAAAAAAGAAAGAUAAAAAAUAAAAGCUUUAUGCUAAUCUAUUGGUUCACUUUUCCAAAGUAAUAUCUUCACUAACAUUUUUUAGCACCAAUCACAUUUCUGUAUCAGAAGGUCACAAAGUCUUAGAUUAGGACCCACAAAGAAUUUCCAUGGAACUCUAAAAUCAAACUAAGUAUGCUAGUUGGAAAAUCAAAUCUGGUUCCAUUGUUUCAUGCUAUGGUUAGGAAGGCAGAAUCUUGCCACGUCUUAUAAAAUGUCACACUCUUACUUAAUGGUGAGGCUGAGCUUAGAAAAUCUCUUCUCUUAAGCUGUGUCUUCUGUCUUUCCUUCUUUGGCUUCCUUUGUCCUGUUCAUUAUCCAUCAGCAAUCAGUUCCUUUUUUUAUCCUGUAAAAGGUCCCAUUUUAUUCCAUCUCCAGUCCUGCUUUGGCUAAGAGAUAUGUCAAAAGGGUUAGCCUUCAGAUAGACUGACUUGCCUGUUCUUUGCUUUUUAUCUGAGACUGGUGGCAGUUAAAAUCCUGUUAUAGUUCCCAGUGGGUCCCUUGAAGGAAUAUUGCAAGCUGUACUAGAAUAGUUAGCUCAAUUAUUUCUGUGAUCACCUAGAAUGGAAUAUUCAUUGAGGGCAAGACUCAUAACAGGGGUAGAGGAUAAAUGUACUUUCUUUGUCAGUUAGGGCCUGCCUUUUGACACAACCACCUACCUAAUUACCACCAGCAGUGACCAAUCAUGAGCCUUCAUGUGGUACCAUAAAUUUCAGGGAACAGUUAGGGCAUUUAUGGCAUGGUGCUUAAAUUGACACCUUCCAUCACAGGGAGGGCACCAUAUGUUUUCACAGAACAGACAUCAAUUCUAGAUUUUCAUUUUCUUUUUCUUACUAUCAUUCUUUUUCCAGUACUAAUCAUAUAAGAGAAACUUUUCUGGAUGCUGAUGGAAUCUUAUAUUAGCUACCAAAU